CCUACGGGAGGCAGCAGUAAGGAAUAUUGGUCAAUGGGCGCAAGCCUGAACCAGCCAUGCCGCGUGCAGGAAGACGGCCCUAUGGGUUGUAAACUGCUUUUGAACAAGAGAAAACCUCGGUACGUGUACCGAGCUGAUAGUAUUGUUAGAAUAAGCAUCGGCUAACUUCGUGCCAGCAGCCGCGGUAAGACGAAGGAUGCAAGCGUUAUCCGGAUUCAUUGGGUUUAAAGGGUGCGUAGGCGGCCUGAUAAGUCAGUGGUGAAAUCUCUCAGCUUAACUGAGAAACUGCCAUUGAUACUGUCGGGCUUGAGUACAGAUGAUGUGGGCGGAAUAUGACAUGUAGUGGUGAAAUACUUAGAUAUGUCAUAGAACACCGAUUGCGAAGGCAGCUCACAAAACUGUAACUGACGCUGAGGCACGAAAGUGCGGGGAUCAAACAGGAUUAGAUACCCUGGUAGUCCGCACCGUAAACGAUGAUUACUCGUUGUUGGCAAUAUGACCGUCAGCGACCAAGCGAAAGCGAUAAGAAUCCACCUGGGGAGUACGCCGGCAACGGUGAAACUCAAAGGAAUUGACGGCGNGAGAGNGCGACGGACGACGACGAGGGAGGAGG
rnacentral:rRNA from 1 species